UAAGUCGCUCUGGAUAAGAGCGUCUGCUAAAUGACGUAAAUGUAAACAUUUCAAAACACACUAAUUAUUUUGCUGUUAGCCAGAUACCUAGAGAAGAUCCAUCUAAUAAAUGAAUGGUAAAAAGGUCUAACCUGGAUAGAAGCCUUGGUAAAGCACAGCUCCCAUGUUGUUAUUCCACCUUUCAUAACCUGCCAAGUCAAUCUAGUAUGACCAGCCUCUCCUUUAGGCCACUUGAGGACUCUGUCAUUCUCUACGGGCUGACCUGACCUUAUCCACCAUGCUCACCUUCACUGUUGCCGCUCUAGAUGCCCGCAGGGCGCUGUGCCUAUAGCCUGGUGCCAGCCACACCUGUGAGAGCUUUAGGUAACUUCUCCAAUGUCCAUAUGGCAUGACAACGAAUGCCAGAGGAGUUGGCUAAAGCAAAACGAAACAUCUGGCAACCAGGCUACUAUACCUACAUCACUUGUUUUCUAGGCGUCUUCAAUGGAUAAGGACACACUAUUACACCAUAAUAAACCUAGGCAUAUUCAUUGGAUAAGGACACGGGAGGGGGGGGUUCUUUACAAGGUAUAUGUUAGGGUAAAGAUGUAAAUAAUUACCUUGUGUAAGUAAUAUUGCUGUUUCAUUCAUUUAGUCAGUCAACCCCUGCAGUGAAUGUUACCGAUUAUGACAAUGUUAUGAUGAUGGUGCUAAUAAUGAUUCCUCUCUAGAGGUAUAGUACAGGUAACCUGAACUGCAGGAAAUAUCAUACAGCGUCUUCACUUGAGUGGAAUGGAUCAUGUGGAAACCACAGAUUAACAAUGUUGGUAACUUUCUUAAAUAGGAUAUUCAUAGCUGAAAGGUAUAAAGACAAUUAUUGUAUUAAUAUUUCGGUUUGAUGUACUGUUACGUACAUAACCUAAUUUCAUAUUGACUAAUAUUCCAAUUGACCAGAUUUUAGUAGUGUGUCAAUUCAAUCAAGAAAAUACAGGACCUGUUUGAGUAUACGGUCUCGGCCAAAUUGCCACCAUUUGGGUGAAAACAUAAUUCAAUCACAAGCGCGUCAGCCAUCAUUUUCAUGACCACGAUUUCUCCCAAAGACAUGAGAUUAAUGUUUGUGCAUAAAGAGUUAGCUAAAAACAUCAAAUAUAACAAAUAAAUAGUAACAAUAAUACAAUUUCCAAGAAAACGUCUCCUAAAGACAAUGACUGAGGCGACAGACAAACUGCCCGUUAAGACUACAUUUGGGUUGCUGUAUGCCAGUCUGAGCCAGAGCUGCAGCUUUGUACAGAAAACACAUUCCUAGGAGAGAUGAAGGACGAAAAAAUAACCGUUUUGAAAUACACCUCACUCAUGUCCCUGUAAAACUCAUCAUCCUCACUCAUGUCCCUGUAAAACUCAUCAUCCUCAUUCAUGUCCCUGUAAAACUCAUCAUUCUCAUUCAUGUCCCUGUAAAACUCAUCAUCCACAGUAGGUGGAACUACUAGUAGACUCUGCCAUUGGGAGGUUGAGAUGUUGCAGCUUUGCUGUGAGUUGGUUUGCAGUGGGUAGUACUAAGGCCAUGGGGGAGGAUUGGGGGAGAAGGGGGUAGUCAAUCUCUUUCCCCAGGGUAGUCUCUGGUGAUGGAAGGGUGGAGGUUGGUGUAGGGUGGAGAAGGGGGUAGUCAAUCUCUUUCCCCAGGGUAGUCUCUGGUGAUGGAAGGGUGGAGGUUGGUGUAGGGUGGAGAAGGGGGUAGUCAAUCUCUUUCCCCAGGGUAGUCUCUGGUGAUGGAAGGGUGGAGGUUGGUGUAGGGUGGAGAAGGGGGUAGUCAAUCUCUUUCCCCAGGGUAGUCUCUGGUGAUGGAAGGGUGGAGGUUGGAGUAGGGUGGAGAAGGGGGUAGUCAAUCUCUUUCCCCAGGGUAGUCUCUGGUGAUGGAAGGGUGGAGGUUGGAGGAUUUGGGGGUGGCAUUUCUGGGUGAUGACAAAGGCUUUGCCCCGUGGACUCAGAGGGGCAUGGUAUGACAUGGCAGGUGGGGUGUGAGGACCCCUGGGGUACACUGAUGGUGCUCUGCAGUAGGGGGGAGUGGCGUAUUGCAACUGAUGAUGUAAUAACUAAUCGUAAUGAAACCAAACCGGAUAUCAGGAUACAUCAAUGGAACAGAA